rnacentral:tRNA from 1 species
GGGAGGUUAGUUUAGGUUAAGAAUAUUGUUUUUGUAAAACAAUGGUGUUGUUUGACAUCUUC